rnacentral:rRNA from 1 species
UACGAAGGGGGCUAGCGUUGCUCGGAAUCACUGGGCGUAAAGCGCACGUAGGCGGCUUUCUAAGUCAGGGGUGAAAUCCUGGAGCUCAACUCCAGAACUGCCUUUGAUACUGGAGAGCUUGAGUCCGGAAGAGGUGAGUGGAACUCCGAGUGUAGAGGUGAAAUUCGUAGAUAUUAGGAAGAACACCAGUGGCGAAGGCGGCUCACUGGCCCGGUACUGACGCUGAGGUGCGAAAGCGUGGGGAGCAAACAGG